rnacentral:lncRNA from 1 species
UGGUUGGUGAGCCAAGGUUAAAAUUAACUAAAUUGAUAGUGAGUCUGAAAAAUUAUCGAUGUAACAUUGUGGUUGGUGAUCCUGAAAAAAUCAACUAAAUUUAUUUAUGAGUUUGAAAAAAUAAAUAUGCUGUAGCUCAAGAGAUUAUAGUAAAAUUUUCAAAGAAAGCUUGGUGAGCGGACGUAGAAGUGGGUUACUCUAAACCACUAUGAAUCUUAUGUAUUUAUAUUGUGCUUGC